CUUAGCUUUCCCAGCCGACCCUGUUCCUCCCAUUCUUUUUAUUGAGAACACAAGGCCCAGCAUGUGUUUAAGGGAACUAUAGUUCAGCACCAGUUCAAUGAGAUUUCCUCUUUCUAUUUUUACUUUUUCUAUGAAUAAAACUAAUUCCACCCAUUAUAGAAUAGGAAAUAUUUAUAAAUUGCAACAACUAUAAUUUACACAAUGAAUGGAGGCAGGGAACUUGUUUCAUAACAUAUAGCGCUUUGUGUGAGGGGGUGCUGUAAAAACUGCACCUGUGAUGUCAUACUUCUCAGUGUUAAAAGGUCGCUUCAAGUACCAUAAAAACUUACGCUUCUGACCUACGUUAUGGUACAG